rnacentral:snRNA from 1 species
UUUCAUUCCGAUGAAAAUAUACUAAAAUCGGAAUACAGAGAAGAUUAGCAUGGCCAAGGAUGACGCGCAAAUUCGCGAAACAUUCCAAAUUUUU